rnacentral:rRNA from 1 species
UUAUUUGAGAGUUUGAUCCUGGCUCAGGAUGAACGCUGGCGGCGUGCCUAACACAUGCAAGUUGAGCGAUUUACUUCGGUAAAGAGCGGCGGACGGGUGAGUAACGCGUGGGUAACCUACCCUGUACACACGGAUAACAUACCGAAAGGUAUGCUAAUACGGGAUAAUAUAUUUGAGAGGCAUCUCUUGAAUAUCAAAGGUGAGCCAGUACAGGAUGGACCCGCGUCUGAUUAGCUAGUUGGUAAGGUAACGGCUUACCAAGGCGACGAUCAGUAGCCGACCUGAGAGGGUGAUCGGCCACAUUGGAACUGAGACACGGUCCAAACUCCUACGGGAGGCAGCAGUGGGGAAUAUUGCACAAUGGGCGAAAGCCUGAUGCAGCAACGCCGCGUGAGUGAUGAAGGCCUUCGGGUCGUAA